rnacentral:rRNA from 1 species
UAUAGAGGGUGCGAGCGUUAAUCGGAAUUACUGGGCGUAAAGCGCACGUAGGUGGCGACGUAAGUCGGGUGUGAAAGCCCCGGGCUCAACCUGGGAAUUGCAUUCGAGACUGCAUUGCUGGAGUACGGAAGAGGAGGGCGGAAUUCCCGGUGUAGCGGUGAAAUGCGUGGAUAUCGGGAGGAACAUCAGGGGCGAAGGCGGCCCUCUGGUCCAGUACUGACACUCAAGUGCGAAAGCGUGUGGGGCAAACAGG